GACGAACGCUGGCGGCGUGCUUAACACAUGCAAGUCGAACGGAAAGGCCCUGCUUUUGUGGGGUGCUCGAGUGGCGAACGGGUGAGUAACACGUGAGUAACCUGCCCUUGACUUUGGGAUAACUUCAGGAAACUGGGGCUAAUACCGGAUAGGAGCUCCUGCUGCAUGGUGGGGGUUGGAAAGUUUCGGCGGUUGGGGAUGGACUCGCGGCUUAUCAGCUUGUUGGUGGGGUAGUGGCUUACCAAGGCUUUGACGGGUAGCCGGCCUGAGAGGGUGACCGGGCACAUUGGGACUGAGAGAAGGCCCAGAAUCCUACGGGAGGCAGCAGGGGGGAAUAUUGCACAAUGGGCGGAAGCCUGAUGCAGCAACGCCGCGUGCGGGAUGACGGCCUUCGGGUUGUAAACCGCUUUCGCCUGUGACGAAGCGUGAGUGACGGUAAUGGGUAAAGAAGCACCGGCUAACUACGUG
rnacentral:rRNA from 1 species